rnacentral:lncRNA from 9 species
AAACCGCCCCCCCCAGACGAAACCGAGGGCCCAGACGUCACCCCCCCUCCACGGGUCGUAAACACGGCCCAGAUGCCGUCCCCCAGGUCGUAAAGCGGGCGCGGACGGAAACGCCGCAGACGCAAACCUCCAGCCCAGACGUAAACCUGGGGCCCAGACCUAACCCCCAAAGUAUAAACUGGGCCACUCGUGACACCCCCAAAGUAUAAACUGGGCCACUCGUGACCCCCCAAACUAAACCCCUCCACCUGUAAAGAAGGACCAGAUGUCAACCCCCAGACGUAAAUCCUGGGCGCAGCUGUAAAGCCCCAGGCUAGACCCGGGGCCCAGGUGCAAAACCCAGACGUAAAGGUAACCGUGGAUGCCCACCAGGGCCGGACACUGCGUGCGGGAGCCCAGAGGGCACCCCAGACCCGCGCCGCGUGUGCCUCACACUGCGGCCCAGCCUGCGGCCCACUGGACCCCGGGAGACGCUGGGACAGCGGCCUCGGUCCUGCGGACCCCAGGACCCGAGAGGAUGCCGCCUGCGGGGAUGGUGCCGGUGAGUGGAGGCGUUGAGAAGAGAGCUGACCUGGUGCUGAGAGCCUCCGAGAGACCCGGCCUGUCGGGAAUCUGCAGACAGAGGUGCGACCCCGGAGGGCAGUAGGUGAUCACUGUGCGUGGCAGGAAUGACCACACUUAGGACAGUUAUGGCCAAAGAAAACGCCUGGGGGAGAAUGGCCCCAAACGAGAGGCGAUGAUAAAAUCAGCCCACCAUCCGAUGGGUUACAGUGUCCAGGAAACAGCUCCCGUCACUUCAGCGACCUCUGAUAGCUGAGCUUGUCUGCAUGGUUCUUUUUAGAUUCAGGUCUUACAGUGACAGAUGGGUAAGCAGUAGUGGGUACUGCUGGGCAGCCCCCGUUUUCAGGAGGCUCAGAUAAGCAGGGGGAGUUUGUGUCCCAGGAAGUACUGGGCACAUGCUGUUACGAAUGAUUUGUCUUUCUCUUGACUCUUCUGCCUUCCAUCGUC